AGUGAACGCUGGCGGUAGGCCUAACACAUGCAAGUCGAACGGCAGCACAGUAAGAGCUUGCUCUUACGGGUGGCGAGUGGCGGACGGGUGAGGAAUACAUCGGAAUCUACUUUUUCGUGGGGGAUAACGUAGGGAAACUUACGCUAAUACCGCAUACGACCUACGGGUGAAAGCAGGGGAUCUUCGGACCUUGCGCGAUUGAAUGAGCGGAUGUCGGAUUAGCUAGUUGGCGGGGUAAAGGCCCACCAAGGCGACGAUCCGUAGCUGGUCUGAGAGGAUGAUCAGCCACACUGGAACUGAGACACGGUCCAGACUCCUACGGGAGGCAGCAGUGGGGAAUAUUGGACAAUGGGGGCAAGCCUGAUCCAGCCAUACCGCGUGGGUGAAGAAGGCCUUCGGGUUGUAAAGCCCUUUUGUUGGGAAAGAAAAGCAGCAGGUUAAUACCCCGCUGUUCUGACGGUACCCAAAGAAUAAGCACCGGCUAACUUCGUG
rnacentral:rRNA from 1 species